UACGGAGGAUGCGAGCGUUAUCCGGAUUUAUUGGGUUUAAAGGGUGCGUAGGCGGCUUUUUAAGUCAGCGGUGAAAUUUUGCAGCUUAACUGUAACAGUGCCGUUGAUACUGGGGAGCUAGGAUUUGGUUGCUGUGGGAGGAAUGUGUGGUGUAGCGGUGAAUGCUUAGAGAUCACACAGAAUAUCGAUUGCGAAGGCAGCUCACAAAGCCAAGAUUGACGCUGAGGCACGAAAGUGUGGGGAUCAAACAGGAUUA
rnacentral:rRNA from 1 species